rnacentral:rRNA from 2 species
GCCUACGGGAGGCAGCAGUGGGGAAUAUUGGACAAUGGGCGCAAGCCUGAUCCAGCCAUGCCGCGUGUGUGAAGAAGGCCUUCGGGUUGUAAAGCACUUUCAGUGGGGAAGAAAUCCUCGAGGUUAAUACCUUCGAGGGAGGACAUCACCCACAGAAGAAGCACCGGCUAACUCCGUGCCAGCAGCCGCGGUAAUACGGAGGGUGCGAGCGUUAAUCGGAAUUACUGGGCGUAAAGCGCGCGUAGGCGGCGUGAUAAGCCGGUUGUGAAAGCCCCGGGCUCAACCUGGGAACGGCAUCCGGAACUGUCAGGCUAGAGUGCAGGAGAGGAAGGUAGAAUUCCCGGUGUAGCGGUGAAAUGCGUAGAGAUCGGGAGGAAUACCAGUGGCGAAGGCGGCCUUCUGGACUGACACUGACGCUGAGGUGCGAAAGCGUGGGUAGCAAACAGGAUUAGAUACCCUGGUAGUCCACGCCGUAAACGAUGUCGACUAGCCGUUGGGGUCCUUGUGACCUUUGUGGCGCAGUUAACGCGAUAAGUCGACCGCCUGGGGAGUACGGCCGCAAGGUUAAAACUCAAA